CAGAUGCCACAUACUUUGUGUAAAUAUAUGUGGCUUUUAAUUUCAAUGAUUUUCCAUCGGGAAACGGAGGCACAGAAGAUGACCUGAAUUGUCUCAGGGGGUUAAACUACAGACUAGUGGCAAAGGUUGUCCUUGAACAAUACUGUCCCAAGAAGAUCUGAGGAGAGCAGAGAACCAAGGCUUACCUCCACAGUCUUGAUACACUGAAGCUAGGUAUCAAUGAGCACAAGUCAAACCAGGGAAGGAAGACAAAAUUUGGCUGGAGAAAUGAAUGUGGAGAUAGUUUUCCUUUGUUUUUUUCCCUUAAUCAUAGCUUGUAGCAUAUUAAUAGAGAUCAGCUUUCAUUGCAGCUGCCUAUACUGUACUUGACCUAUGCAGAAAGAAUUUGGUCUCCGAGCCUGGAAGUCAGGCAUCCUUCCCUAGCUCUGAUUUCUCUUAAAUAAUUUUAAUUAAACAAGGAAGGAAAAAAGUGAACUGACAGUUAUGAAUAAUGAAGUGGGAAGGGGCUAUGAAUACAAUA